CGCGCAGAACCUUACCAACCCUUGACAUACUNGUCGUCGCUCCAGAGAUGGAGCUUUCAGUUCGGCUGGACGAGAUACAGGUGCUGCAUGGCUGUCGUCAGCUCGUGUCGUGAGAUGUUCGGUUAAGUCCGGCAACGAGCGCAACCCACAUCCCUAGUUGCCAGCAGUUCGGCUGGGCACUCUAUGGAAACUGCCCGUGAUAAGCGGGAGGAAGGUGUGGAUGACGUCAAGUCCUCAUGGCCCUUACGGGUUGGGCUACACACGUGCUACAAUGGCAGUGACAAUGGGUUAAUCCCAAAAAACUGUCUCAGUUCGGAUUGGGGUCUGCAACUCGACCCCAUGAAGUCGGAAUCGCUAGUAAUCGCGUAACAGCAUGGCGCGGUGAAUACGUUCCCGGGCCUUGUACACACCGCCCGUCACACCAUGGGAGUUGGUUCUACCCGACGACGCUGCGCUAACCUUCGGGGGGCAGGCGGCCANCGGUAGGAUCAGCGANCUGGGGUGAAGUCGUAANCAAGGUAA
rnacentral:rRNA from 1 species